ensembl:lncRNA UBL7-DT UBL7 divergent transcript
AGUCUACAAGAGGCGCUAGUUGCAAAGCUUCCGGUUCUGGGGGAAGGCGUGGCUUCCGCGCUCUUUGAAAUGUCCGGCGCCGGAAUGUCUGGGUGCUUUGGUUGGAGAGGGUCCCAUUUCCAGUCAUUCUUCAGCCUGGUGAUUCCCGCGCUCCCCUGAGGAGCAUAUGAAGUACGUCGGUUCUGCCAGGUUGGAACGCGCUGCUGGACACUCGGCCGUAAGGCGGAUCCCGGAUCCCCUCCCACUCCGACCCUUCCCUCCAGAAGGGCCGGUUCCCAAACGGCCCCUUUAGACACAUCCAAGCGGUUGCCGACGGCCCUCACGAUGAAAACUGCUGUCCGUUGGUGAAGGCAGCCUCUUCUGUGCUCCUCGCCGCUGACUUCCUGAGGCGGACCUACCUGUGGAGGCAUACCAGGAACCAGACGAUGACCCCCUCCAAAAGUUGGGUCUUUGAGGAGAGCUACUAACUUGGGUUCCUGGUACACCCUCUACAUGCAGUGGUGAAGCUUAUCUAACAGUCAUUCAUAGAAUCAGUUUGGGAAGGGGAAUUUUCACUGAACUCUCAUAGAGAAACUGUGUUUUAGAUAACAGAAAGUUCUGCACGGUUAAAAUGGAACAGAAAUUUUUUUGCACAGAAAUUAGGAUUACCGAAAAUACUGAAGAAAGACUACCUCUGAUUGGACUCUUCUCAAGGAAUUAAUAAUUCAAGAACUAAGGAAAGAAAAAAGUGAUUAUAUGAAAAUACUGAAGUUGAUCGUAGCAGCUGAAGGCUGAUCCUGUGCUGAAGUACAUUGGUGCAAUCUUGGCUCACUGCAUCUCCACCCCAGGUUCAAGCGAUUCUCCUGCCUCAGCCUCCCAAGCAGCUGGGAUUACAGAAUGUCACAUAAAUGGAAUCAUACUGUGUCCGGAAUUGGUGGGUUCUUGGUCUCACUGACUUCAAGAAUGACGCCAUGGGCCCUCGCGGUGAGUGUUACAGCUCUUAAGGUGGCGCGUCUGGAGUUUGUUCCUUCUGAUGUUCGGAUGUGUUCGGAGUUUCUUCCUUCUGGUGGGUUCGUGGUCUCGCUGGCUCAGGAGUGAAGCUGCAGACUUUCGCGAUUUCAUCUCUCUCUCUGCUAUGGACACAGAUGGCUUCACUCCAUCCUGUAUUCUUCGGACCAUGAUAAAAUUCCAGACUCUCGGUAGUUUUUGCGUUCCAAGAAGUAGAGCCUAGAGUGGUGGCCUAUAAUUACAGUUACUCAGGAGGCUGAGGCAGGAGGAUCCUUUGAGUCCAGCAGUUUGAGGCCAGCCUGGACACCACAGCAAGACCACCAAUAAAUAAAUAAAUAAAUGGAACAUGUUUCCCUGUCA